rnacentral:rRNA from 1 species
UACGUAGGGUGCAAACGUUGUUCGGAAUUACUGGGCGUAAAGCGAGUGUAGGCGGUCUGAAAAGUCGGAUGUGAAAGCCCUGGGCUCAACCCAGGAAGUGCAUUCGAAACUGCCAGGCUAGAGUGUCGGAGAGGUUGGUGGAAUUCUCGGUGUAGAGGUGAAAUUCGUAGAUAUCGAGAGGAACACCGGUGGCGAAGGCGGCCAACUGGACGAACACUGACGC